rnacentral:rRNA from 1 species
GACGAACCGUGCGAACGUUAUUCGGAAUCACUGGGCUUAAAGCGCGUGUAGGCGGGUGGGAACGUCGGCCGCUGAAAUCCCCCGGCUCAACCGGGGAAGGGGCGCCGAAACGGCCCGCCUGGAGGGACGUAGGGGGAGCUGGAACUUCCGGUGGAGCGGUGAAAUGCGUUGAGAUCGGAAGGAACGCCCGUGGCGAAAGCGAGCUCCUGGACGUUUUCUGACGCUGAGACGCGAAAGCCAGGGGAGCGAACGGG